UUUCCGUAGGUGAACCUGCGGAAGGAUCAUUAACGAAUUUCUAGCUGCCUACCCGUGGCAAGCAUGAAUGUCGAUACACGGUGCAACGGCUGCAUUGGUCCAGCGGGAGUUAGCCGCGCAUUGGCUAAAUUGCCGAGAGACCGCCUUCGCACUGUCUAUGUGGAUUUCAUCUCGGUUUGAUCGCCGGGAGGUCGGUUGGCUGUGACGUCCCGAGUCGUGCAGUGCCCGGGAUGUCAACCUUGGCAUAUUGCUGUUCUUCUUGGGUACCUACCUCGGCUAGCAUUAUUGGCCGAGCAGAGCAAGCUCGAGCGAGGUUCAAUGAACCGUCAGCCUUCGACGGUCGCCCGUGAAGCACGGCACAUGCCGUUUUCCUCCACAACUCUGCUGGUGUAUGAAUCGAUUGCAACUGUGGGCUACGUGUUGUUUUCCUAGAAACAUUUACUGUUUUCACGUGAAGACAACUCUAAGCGGUGGAUCACUCGGCUCGUGUGUCGAUGAAGAGCGGAGCCAGCUCCGUGAAUUAAUGUGAAUUGCAGGACACAUUGAACAUCGAUAUCUUGAACGCAUAUUGCGGCCUUGGGCAAUACUGAGGCCACGCCUGUCUCAGGGUCGGUUGAAUGUAAAUCGCGAAUUGCAUUUUUCUUUCGCGCAAUGGGCAUCGCAGCCGGUGUGCACCCCCGUGUGCACCGCAUUCUUGGCUUCGUUGCCUCAAGUUCAGACGAGCAUCGGUAAGUCGACGCAGUGUCGUCGGUUCCAACCGAACGUCAAACACUAUUGUGGCUUUCGUUUCGACCUGAGAUCAGACGAGAUUACCCGCUGAAUUUAA
rnacentral:rRNA from 1 species